rnacentral:rRNA from 1 species
GUAGGUGGCAAGCGUUGUCCGGAAUUAUUGGGCGUAAAGCGCGCGCAGGCGGUUCUUUAAGUCUGAUGUGAAAGCCCACGGCUCAACCGUGGAGGGUCAUUGGAAACUGGAGAACUUGAGUACAGAAGAGGAAAGCGGAAUUCCACGUGUAGCGGUGAAAUGCGUAGAGAUGUGGAGGAACACCAGUGGCGAAGGCGGCUUUCUGGUCUGUAACUGACGCUGAGGCGCGAAAGCGUGGGGGAGCAAACAGGAUUAGAUACCCUGGUAGUCCACGCCGUAAACGAUGAGUGCUAAGUGUUAGGGGGUUUCCGCCCCUUAGUGCUGCAGCUAACGCAUAAGCACUCCCGCCUGGGAGUACGGCCGCAAGGCUG